GAGCAAAGAUGAAUGCAUAAUUGCUUUCUGACACCUCUUAUGUUAGCGGUCAUUUCCGGGCUGCAAUGAUUCCAAAAAGUUUCCUGAGCUC
rfam:Haemonchus placei strain MHpl1 genome assembly, scaffold: HPLM_scaffold0001112